AUACGGAGGGUGCAAGCGUUAUUCGGAAUCACUGGGCGUAAAGGACGCGUAGGCGGGUUGGCAAGUCAGAUGUGAAAUCCUACAGCUUAACUGUAGAACUGCAUUUGAAACUGCUAACCUAGAGUAUGGGAGGGGGAGAUGGAAUUAGUGGUGUAGGGGUAAAAUCCGUAGAUAUCACUAGGAAUACCGAAAGCGAAGGCGAUCUCCUGGAACAUAACUGACGCUAAGGCGUGAAAGCGUGGGGAGCAAACAAGAUUAGAAACCCUAGUAGUCC
rnacentral:rRNA from 1 species